UACGUAGGGGGCUAGCGUUGUCCGGAUUUAUUGGGCGUAAAGAGCGUGUAGGCGGCCAGGUAGGUCUGCCGUGAAAACUCGAGGCUUAACCUCGAGAUGUCGGCGGAAACCAUCUGGCUAGAGUCCGGAAGAGGAGAGUGGAAUUCCUGGUGUAGCGGUGAAAUGCGCAGAUAUCAGGAAGAACACCCGUGGCGAAGGCGGCUCUCUGGGACGGUACUGACGCUGAGACGCGAAAGCGUGGGGAGCGAACAGG
rnacentral:rRNA from 1 species